rnacentral:rRNA from 1 species
UACGAAGGGGACUAGCGUUGUUCGGAAUCACUGGGCGUAAAGCGCACGUAGGCGGCUUUGUAAGUUAGAGGUGAAAGCCCGGAGCUCAACUCCGGAACUGCCUUUAAGACUGCAUCGCUUGAACGUCGGAGAGGUAAGUGGAAUUCCGAGUGUAGAGGUGAAAUUCGUAGAUAUUCGGAAGAACACCAGUGGCGAAGGCGACUUACUGGACGACUGUUGACGCUGAGGUGCGAAAGCGUGGGGAGCAAACAGG